rnacentral:rRNA from 1 species
AUGAACGCUAGCUACAGGCUUAACACAUGCAAGUCGAGGGGCAGCAUGGAGUUGCUGCAAACUCUGAUGGCGACCGGCGCACGGGUGAGUAACGCGUAUCCAACCUUCCCUAUAGUAGAGGAUAGCCCGGCGAAAGUCGGAUUAAUACUCUAUGUUUUCCGUUGCAGACAUCUAAGAUGGAACAAAGGCUUGCCGCUAUAGGAUGGGGAUGCGUCUGAUUAGGUAGUCGGCGGGGUAACGGCCCACCGAGCCAUCGAUCAGUAGGGUUCUGAGAGGAAGGUCCCCCACAUUGGAACUGAGACACGGUCCAAACUCCUACGGGAGGCAGCAGUGAGGAAUAUUGGUCAAUGGGCGAGAGCCUGAACCAGCCAAGUAGCGUUGCAGGAUGACGGCCCUAUGGGUUGUAAACUGCUUUUAUGCGGGGAUAAAGUUCACUACGUGUAGUGUUUUGUAGGUACCGCAUGAAUAAGGACCGGCUAAUUCCGUGCCAGCAGCGGC